AUUGAACGCUGGCGGCAGGCCUAACACAUGCAAGUCGAACGAGUGGCGGACGGGUGAGUAAUGUCUGGGAAACUGCCUGAUGGAGGGGGAUAACUACUGUAAACGGUAGCUAAUACCGCAUACCAUCGGAUGUGCCCAGAUGGGAUUAGGUAGUAGGUGGGGUAAAGGCUCAACUAGGCGACGCUCCCUAGCUGGGCUGAGAGGAUGACUAGCCACACGGGAAAUGAGACACGGUCGAGACUCCUACGGGAGGCAGCAGUGGGGAAUAUUGCACAAUGGGCGCAAUCCUGAUGCAGCCAGGCCGCGUGUAUGAAGAAGGCCCUCGGGUUGUAAAGUACUUUCAGCGGGGAGGCGUUACCCGCAGAAGAAGCACCGGCUAACUCCGUGCCAGCAGCCGCGGUAAUAC
rnacentral:rRNA from 1 species